rnacentral:rRNA from 1 species
UGCGUAGGCGGUCUUGUAAGUCAGUCGUGAAAUCGCUGGGCUCAACCCAUGCAAUUGCGAUUGAUACUGCGAGACUUGAAUGGGGUUAAGGCAGGCGGAAUGUGGCAUGUAGCGGUGAAAUGCAUAGAUAUGCCAUAGAACACCGAUUGCGAAGGCAGCCUGCUGGGCCUUUAUUGACGCUGAGGCACGAAAGCGUGGGGAGCAAACAGGAUUAGAUACCCUGGUAGUCCACGCCCUAAACGAUGUUUACUUGCUGUUUGCCCUUUGGGGUGAGUGGCGUAGCGAAAGCGAUAAGUAAACCACCUGGGGAGUACGCCGGCAACGGUGAA